GACGAACGCUGGCGGCGUGCUUAACACAUGCAAGUCGAACGAGAAGAGAUGAGAAGCUUGCUUCUUAUCGAUUCGAGUGGCAAACGGGUGAGUAACGCGUAAGCAACCUGCCCUCUAGAUGGGGACAACAGCUGGAAACGGCUGCUAAUACCGAAUACGUUCUUUCUGUCGCAUGGCAGAGGGAAGAAAGGGAGGCUCUUCGGAGCUUUCGCUGGAGGAGGGGCUUGCGUCUGAUUAGCUAGUUGGAGGGGUAACGGCCCACCAAGGCGACGAUCAGUAGCCGGUCUGAGAGGAUGAACGGCCACAUUGGGACUGAGACACGGCCCAGACUCCUACGGGAGGCAGCAGUGGGGAAUCUUCCGCAAUGGACGAAAGUCUGACGGAGCAACGCCGCGUGAACGAUGACGGCCUUCGGGUUGUAAAGUUCUGUUAUACGGGACGAAUGGUACGACGGCCAAUACCCGUCGUAAGUGACGGUACCGUAAGAGAAAGCCACGGCUAACUA
rnacentral:rRNA from 1 species